AUGUACCAGAACAUUAAUGAAGCAUCAUGGGGCGAGCAACAACUCAUCAGUGAGAUAAGAACAUUCCUUGAAAACAAGAGGUACUUGAUAGUUAUUGAUGACAUAUGGGAUAAAUCCGUCUGGGAAAAUAUCAAGUAUGCAUUGAUUGAGAAUGGAUACGGAAGUAGAGUAAUCACAACAACUCGGGUUCUUUAUGUUUCCCUGCAAGCUGGUGGUGUAUAUCGGCUGAAACCUCUUUCUGUUGUCGUCUCAAGAAAGUUGUUCUAUCAAAGAAUAUAUGAGAUGGAGAACAAGUCACCACCUAAUCAAUUGGUUGAAGUAUCUGAGAGAAUUUUAAAAAGAUGUGGGGGAGUUUCGCUAGCUAUCCUUGCGAUAGGCAGCUUGCUGUCUAGUGAAAAGGGAACAACACAUACACAUGAGUAUUGGUCCAAGGUGUACAAAUCCAUCAGUUUGGGGCUAGACAAUAAUCAUGAUGAUGUGAAGAACAUGAGGAGAAUAUUAUCUGUAAGUUACUCUGGCCUACCUCCACACCUAAAGACUUUCUUACUGCAUCUUGGUUUGUAUCCAGAGGAUUAUGAGAUUGAAGCAGAACAACUGAUUUGGAAAUGGGUUGGUGAAGGUUUUGUGAAAAAAGAACAAGGGAGGAGCUGA
rnacentral:rRNA from 1 species